UCCGGUUUGUCACCGGCAGUCUCCCUAGAGUGCCCUUGCGUAGCAACUAGGGACAAGGGUUGCGCUCGUUGCGGGUCUUAACCCAACAUCUCACGACACGAGCUGACGACAACCAUGCACCACCUGUGUAGGGCCCCGAAGGACACCGUAUCUCUACGGCUUUUCCCUACAUGUCAAGCCCAGGUAAGGUGGGGAUGACGUGUCGUUACCUUA
rnacentral:misc_RNA from 1 species